AGGAAGAUAUAUUAAACGAGCGUGGUGAAGACCAAUAUGGUUUGUAGAAAACCUCACCGCGGGUCCAGGCCUUUGCAGGGUGACACGAAGCACCCAGUGUGGUGGUAGCAGACACAGUCACUCCCAGAACCGAGUAGGUGGGCUCCAGUUCAUGUGGGAAAGCUGCAAGGCGCGAGGCACGACCACCUGGAGGUAGUCAUCCCGGUGGACUGUCCUACACCAGCUCGGCUCACACUGGAAGGCUGUGGUUGUGGUCGCCGGACAACGGGGAAGGCAAUGAGGACAAUCUCUGGAUACUGAAGAACAUUUAUAACGUAGACAUAGUGGCAUGACAUUGUCCGUCACCACGUGAAGUGUCAUUUGUCAGACCACCUUUUGAUAUAUUUUUUUUCUGCCAGAAAAUGGCCUGGUUUACUGAAUUGUAUAGUUAUAAAACAUUAAAAUUUUUAAAAAU